rnacentral:rRNA from 1 species
UACGUAGGUGGCAAGCGUUGUCCGGAAUGACUGGGCGUAAAGGGCGUGCAGGUGGAUUGAUCAGUCGGAUGUGAAAUACCCGGGCUUAACCUGGGAGCUGCAUUCGAUACGGUCAGUCUUGAGUGCAGGAGAGGGGAGUGGAAUUCCCAGUGUAGCGGUGAAAUGCGUAGAGAUUGGGAGGAAUACCAGUGGCGAAGGCGGCUCCCUGGACUGUAACUGACACUGAGGCGCGAAAGCGUGGGGAGCAAACAGG